CUUUUGUUGCCCAGUAGAUACAACCCAAGAGGGGGGGUGAAUUGGGUCUUUUAAAACUUUUAUGCUACUUCUAAAACUUUAUGAUUAACUAUACUAAGUUGUAUAGAUGCACAGUGAAAGUUAAACUUAGCAAGGGUUUGAUGUAUAGACUUCGACUUGAUUAAAUAUGCUUGCAACUAAAGGAUGUGCGGAUAAGAAUUAAGCAAGCAAUUUAUCUAAGUAAGUAAGUGUGUUAGUUAGACAAUAACUAAAGGCAUUACAAACACAAAGGACAUAUAGUGGUUCGGUGCACCCCAGCACCUACAUCCACUCCCCAAGACCUCUUGGGAAUUUCACUAUAAUCCUACCGAUUACAGCCGGUUGUUUUACAAGCUCACAACCCAACUUGUUGUUUUACGAGCGCACAACGAACUCGGUCGGUUUUUCCAGGCUCACCGACUAGAACCAACCCCGAUUGUUUUCCCGGGCUCACAAUCAAACCCUUACACGUUGGUUUUACCCUCGGCUCACCAACAAACCUAAACCCC
rnacentral:lncRNA from 1 species